rnacentral:miRNA from 1 species
ACUGCAAAACCAGCACUUCCUG